ACAUAGCAUGGUGGGAGACAAGGCGAGAGGGGAGAUGAAUGCUUUUCAGAGAAACGAAUCCAAGGAAACUUUGUUCACUUUUAUUUCUGCAGGAGAUGAUCCCCCCAAAGGAGAUUUCCCUGUUCAGAAGAAAUCCCCGAAACUCUGUGGCUCCAACUACCCCCUAAGCAUUGCCUUCAUCGUGGUGAAUGAGUUCUGCGAGCGCUUCUCCUACUAUGGCAUGAGAGCUGUCCUGACACUAUAUUUCUUAAGCUUCUUCCACUGGGAUGAGAAUCUCUCCACCGCUGUGUACCAUGCCUUUUCCGCGCUAUGCUAUUUCACACCUGUCAUUGGAGCCAUCAUGGCAGACUCGUGGUUGGGGAAGUACAAGACGAUCAUCUACCUCUCCAUUGUGUAUGUUGUUGGCCAUCUGAUAAAGUCAGUCGGUGCAAUUCCAUCCCUAGGCAACCAGGUGGUUCAUGUGAUCCUGUCUAUGGUUGGUUUGUUUUUGAUCGCCCUUGGAACAGGAGGAAUCAAGCCCUGUGUCUCUGCAUUUGGUGGGGACCAGUUUGAAGAGGAACAUACCUCGGAGAGAAGCAAGUUUUUUUCCAUCUUCUAUUUAUCCAUUAAUGCUGGAAGUUUGAUCUCCACGUUUGUAACUCCUGUGUUAAGAGGGGAUGUGAAAUGUUUUGGAGAGGAUUGUUAUGCACUAGCUUUUGGUGUCCCAGCAGCACUGAUGGGGUUGGCACUUGUUGUGUUCAUUGCUGGAAGUGGACUGUACAGAAAAACACCACCACAAGGGAACAUCUUAUUGGAAGUGUGUAAAUGCAUCGGUUUUGCUAUUAAAAACCGGCUGAAAAACCGCUCCAGUCAGAUUCCAAAGAGAGAUCACUGGCUGGACUGGGCGUCAGAAAAAUACUCGAAACAGCUGAUUGGGGAGGUUAAAAUGGUGACACGAGUUCUCUUCCUUUUCAUACCACUGCCAAUGUUCUGGGCCCUGUUUGAUCAGCAGGGAUCCAGGUGGACUUUGCAAGCCACAAAAAUGAAUGCUGAUUUUGGAAUAUAUGUCCUUCAGCCUGACCAAAUGCAGUUCUUAAAUCCACUUCUUAUUCUUGUCUUUAUCCCAAUUUUUGACCUUGGGCUCUACCCCCUGAUAAACAUGUGCAAAUUUAAUUUCACACCUAUUAGGAAAAUGGCAACAGGUAUGAUCCUUGCAGGGAUGGCGUUUGGACUUGCAGCUAUUGUGGAAGUCAAAAUAAAUGAAACUGAUAUGCCUCGACUUGUCCCAGAAGAAAGUUUAAUUCGGGUCCUGAAUUUGGCAAAGAACCCUGUUCUAGUGACAAUCCAAGAGAAGGACCUAUUUCAGCAGCCUAUGGAGGCUUUUCAGAACCCAGCUGAGUACUCAAAAUUAAUAUUGAAUGGAGAGCAACAGAGCCUUCGCUUCACCCUGCAAUAUCAAGGAUUGUCUCUUCCUUUUAACUACACCGUGAAGGAAAAAUCAGUAUACAGCUUAAUUGUUUUUGAGGCAGAAGGAAACCUAUCAAGCCGCUUAAUUACAGACUUGGAAGCAAAGCCAGAAAAUGGUUUGGCAGCUGUUAGAUUCAUUAAUGGUUUGAACCAAGAUGUCAACCUCACCAUUGACAGCAAAUGGUUCAUUGCUGUUCGGAGAAACUACAGUGCUUCUGAGUACUCGCUGCUAGAGAGGGACAAAUAUAAUAAUGGAAAAUGCAUAACUGAAAUGGGAGAGUUUACCCUGGAGCUAGGGCUGCUUGACUUCGGCGCGUCAUACACCAUUGUGAUAACUAAUAUUUCUGGAGGUGCUGUUAAGACAUGGAAGUCAGAAGACAUAAAGGCCAACAAUGUCCAUAUGGCUUGGCAGUUACCACAAUACUUAUUAAUAUCUGCUGGGGAGGUGAUGUUCUCCAUUACAGGUCUGGCCUUCUCCUAUUCUCAGGGAGAAGGUUUAUGAGAAGAGAAGAAAGAGAGGAUGAAGACAUUACAAGAUCAAAAAGCUGAAGCUACUCAAAUUUAUCCUGGGAGUAAAUUGCAGAUGUUUAUUAACAGUGGGACAAUCUGUAAUGAGAUGUAGAAACUUUGUCAUCAGCAGGAAGUUUAGCAUCAAGAUCCAGUUCCAAAGGUGUACAGCCACAUGGCACCAGACUACAAGCUGCAGGUGGUGGUGUGUGGUUCCCUGGACUUUUUGAUUGUACAAUUUCAGAUGAUGCAGGUUGUGGAUGAUCAAGAUCCGGCUCCGCAACAACAGCAUCUCCUCCUUCACGUGUCCUCCUGGAGGACAUGUUUUGAAAGUUCCUUGUAUGAAGCUGCUGAGAUUAAUCACAGAGAUUAUCCACUCUGUAUAGAGGAAAUUUCUCUCAUCUCCUAGGCUGAGCCCAGUGACACCUACACUGAGCAGGACAUCACAGAGUGAACCAGGGCAGAAGGGCACAGUGUGACACCCACUGAUCCAGGCCCUUCUCUUUUCAGUCUCCAGCCAGCAUGAAGUCGGUGCUGCAGGCAGGCUGGCUGCUCACAGUGGCUGUUGGGAAUACCUUUGUGCUUGUUGUUGCCCAAGCUGCACCAAUGGCACAGUGGGCUGAAUUUGUCUUGUUCACUGUUCUCCUCUUUGCUGUGUGCAUUAUUUUCUCCAUCAUGGGAUAUUUCUAUGUCAGUGUGGAUCCAGAGGACCUAGAAGAAAAGGAAGAGAAGAGAGAGACCCCAAGCAGAGGAAACAUGAUUAGUCUUGUUACUCAGAAAACAAAGCUCUAACACAUGAUGGGUGGGGAUAUUUUUUUUGAAUCAGAAGAUGGGAGGGUAAAAUGUUCUUUUUUUUUUUUUUAUAGCAUUGCAGUCUUUAUUACUCAAAAUGUAGCCACCAUCUAAAUGGGACCAAAUAGCCCUUUAUAAAAACAAUGGGGGUCCUGAAAUCAGAGCAAAACUCCUUGGGAAAGUUCCUCUGGUAUUAAAAGCCCUCAAGUAAAUACAGUGUAAUUUAAAACCUGUCCAUCUUUUUAAGUAUGGGAUGCUUUCCUGUGAUUUGGUUUUAAACAUAUAUUUAGGGCAGCAGGGAGGAAGAGUGGAAGGAAUGCCAUAUGACAGCAAAAUCUGGAGAUGUUGGGAGAAAAGAAUGAAAACUCAGUAUAGGAACUGGGGAAGAAUAGAUGUUACUGGCAGGAGAAUUUUUAAUGCUGUCGCCGAGGACUGGAAGUGUUACAAUGCCAAAGGAUUUUAUCAUGUAACUCUCCUUAUGAGUAUUUCACCCCAUUAUUGCAUGUUAUGAAUGGUCCUGAUUUAUGACUUUCACCUCCAGGCUCAGAAGUAAUAACAGGGAAUUAAAUUCUGCAGGCUAAAAUAUUCCCCAAACGCUACUGAAGCAGAUAUGUAUGCCACCAUCUCUCCAAUACUGAUUUUUUCCUGGGAUUUUUAGCAACUGAUGGUGUUCUUUGACUAUAUGUGAUUAGAGAAUUGGUUUACACUUUCUUAUUUCAGAAAUCCAGGAAGUUACUUGCCAUCUUCCUAUAUAUUAAGCCUUUAUUGGGCAUUUCCUUUUACAGCACUUGCCACUGCAAGUUAGGAUAUGGCUGAUUUCUUAUCUCAUGCUUCAGUUAUUCCCCACUGGGAGACACAUUGUGGCAGUGUCUAUAAAAUUCCAGGCAUCCUGCAGAGAGUUAAACAAGGAUGCAUUUUAUUAUCUUUUCAGUCUACAAGAGAAGACCAUAGGAGAUUUUUCUUUUUCCUCCCUGUUUUUGUGUCUCUCUACUAAACUUUGGAUAUAGCUAUUUUAUCAGAAGUGUGAUAUAAAUGUCUAAUUUUUCUGGGUUGCGUGAAUCUGUGAUUUCAUGUUCUGCAUAGAAGUAAUUCAACCAUUGCUGAUCUAGUAAACUACUGAGACAGUCCCUGCCUUCCUCUGUCCUCCAAGGCUGCAGUUGUAACAGGUAUGGCCUAAUUUACAAGAAGUUGUCAAUAGGAUCUUAAGGUUCACAGAGAAUAGAUACUAAAUGAUGCUUUCCUUUUCCAUCUUGGCACUGGCCGUAAGUGGUUGCUGAUGCUUUGAUUCAGGAGAUUAUAAAAUGCAUGUUAAUUUAAUUCCUGUUCAGGACAGUGCUCGGGAAUAUACUUAGUUUGACACCUCU